AGAGCGCAGGGGCUGAAGCCGUGCUGCCAGCGUGGGGCUGGGGAAGGCAGUCCCUGGGGCUCGGCUGGCCUUGGGGCACUGAGGCAGCUGCUGCCAGCUCUCCUGCCUCCUGCUGCAGCUGCCCGAGUGCUUUGGCACAGGCCUUUGGCCCCUGGGCCCUGUGGCAGCAGGAUGGUGUUUCACACACUUGUGUUCCACAAGUAGAUGGCCAGAAGGAUGUGGAGCCUGCAUGAAAGGCUCGUGGAGCUCCUGCAGGAAAAUGACGGCGUCAUGCUCAGGAUGACCACGGUUCUCCUCAGAGCUGUAUUUCUCUGCAAAGAGGCCCCAAUGACCAGCACCCUCGCCCUGCAGCUGGCUGAGGCGCUCCUGCCACUCUUUGACAACGAGGAUAGCCAGGUGCAGUUGAGCUCCAUGUUUAUCUUCCGAGACAUGCUGGAUCGUUUUCCGGAAGAGGAAAAAAAGGCCCUGAAGGCACAGGUGCGCCAGAGCCUGCUGCCACUCUCCUUCCACUGCCAGGAUGAGAACCAGCGAGUGGCAGAGGCUUCUCAGGAAACGCUGCUUUGUGCGGCCGAGUUCCUGAAGCAGAGGGAUCUCGAAAAGCUGCUGAAGAACCAGAAGCCGUGGAAGUUCACCGAGUGCCUGCUGGCAGAGGACAGCAGCAGCGUGGCCGAGCACCUGCGCCGGGCCCUGCCCUACCUGCAGAGCCCACAGGAGCCCCUGCGAGAGGCGGCCGUCAGGUUCAUGGGUGAGCCACGAGCCGGGCCAGGUGGCCGUGUGGGCACAGGGCUGGCAGCGCCGCUGGCAGGGAGCUGUGCCGCCGGGCCUGACAGGCUCUGUGUUCCCAGGGACGGCCGGGCGGUACCUGAGGGGGAGGAAGGAAGAGCUCCAGCUCAUCUCUGAGGCCCUUGAAGGCAUGGCCAAUGACAUCAGUGUCCCCGUCGCAAGCCUGGCUGUUCAAACAUUGUACGUCCUCCAGGAAGCAGAGAGAGCUCCAUACUCCAUCUUUGACAACCUGCAUGAUCGGCUCCGCAGGGCAUGGAGGAGACGGCCUCGUCUGUCGGGGCUCGGCUGGC
rnacentral:lncRNA from 1 species